GACCAUGGCUCAGAUUGAGCGCUGGCGGCAGGCUUAACACAUGCAAGUCGAACGGUAACAUAAAGAAGCUUGCUUCUUUGAUGACGAGUGGCGGACGGGUGAGUAAUGCUUGGGAAUCUAGCUUAUGGAGGGGGGAUAACUACGGGAAACUGUAGCUAAUACCGCGUAAUAUCGAAAGAUUAAAGUGUGGGACCUUCGGGCCACAUGCCAUAAGAUGAGCCCAAGUGGGAUUAGGUAGUUGGUG
rnacentral:rRNA from 1 species